rnacentral:rRNA from 1 species
CCUACGGGAGGCAGCAGUGGGGAAUAUUGCACAAUGGGCGAAAGCCUGAUGCAGCAACGCCGCGUGAGGGACGACGGCCUUCGGGUUGUAAACCUCUUUUGGCAGGGAAGAAGCGAAAGUGACGGUACCUGCAGAAAAAGCACCGGCUAACUACGUGCCAGCAGCCGCGGUAAUACGUAGGGUGCAAGCGUUGUCCGGAAUUAUUGGGCGUAAAGAGCUCGUAGGCGGUUUGUCGCGUCUGCUGUGAAAACGCAAGGCUCAACCUUGCGCCUGCAGUGGGUACGGGCAGACUAGAGUGUGGUAGGGGAGAUUGGAAUUCCUGGUGUAGCGGUGGAAUGCGCAGAUAUCAGGAGGAACACCGAUGGCGAAGGCAGAUCUCUGGGCCAUUACUGACGCUGAGGAGCGAAAGCGUGGGGAGCGAACAGGAUUAGAUACCCUGGUAGUCCACGCCGUAAACGUUGGGAACUAGAUGUGGGGUCCAUUCCACGGAUUCCGUGUCGCAGCUAACGCAUUAAGUUCCCGCCUGGGGAGUACGCGCGAGACGAACGUAACGAAGAAGUUAGAGCGUUGAGAGNGCGAGGCGACGACGAGGAGAGG